rnacentral:rRNA from 1 species
AGAGUUUGAUCAUGGCUCAGGAUGAACGCUAGCGGCAGGCCUAAUACAUGCAAGUCGUACGAGAACUCUUUAGCUUGCUAAAGAUAGUAAAGUGGCGCACGGGUGAGUAACGCGUGGGUAAUCUACCUCUGAAUUUGGGAUAACUCCGCGAAAGCGGGGCUAAUACCGGAUAAUAUUUCAGGAUCUUCGGGUCUUGAAAUCAAAAGUGGCCUCUACAUGUAAGCUACUGUUUGGAGAUGAGCCCGCGUACCAUUAGCUUGUUGGUAGGGUAAUGGCCUACCAAGGCUACGAUGGUUAGCUGGUCUGAGAGGAUGAUCAGCCACACUGGAACUGACACACGGUCCAGACUCCUACGGGAGGCAGC